rnacentral:sRNA from 1 species
AUUUAGCCCCGAUGGGAGCGGUAUCCUUUUUCUUGCCAUCCUGACGGAGGAAGGAUCUCAAGAAAAAGAUUUAGCGUACAGCGGGAAGUUAG